AUUGAACGCUGGCGGCAGGCCUAACACAUGCAAGUCGAGCGGAGCGGCGGACGGGUGAGUAAUGCCUAGGAAUCUGCCUGGUAGUGGGGGAUACCGUCCGGAAACGGGCGCUAAUACCGCAUACUAUCAGAUGAGCCUAGGUCGGAUUAGCUAGUUGGUGGGGUAAAGGCCUACCAAGGCGACGGUCCGUAACUGGUCUGAGCGGAUGAUCAGUCACGCUGGAACUGAGACACGGUCCAGACUCCUACGUGAGGCAGCAGUGGGGAAUAUUGGACAGUGGGCGAAAGCCUGAUCCAGCCAUGCCGCGUGUGUGAAGAAGGUCUUCGGAUUGUAAAGCACGUUAAGUUGGGAGGCGUUACCAACAGAAUAAACACCGGCUAACUUCGGGCCAGCAGCCGCGGUAAUUC
rnacentral:rRNA from 1 species